rnacentral:lncRNA from 1 species
CCAGCACCUGGGCAACAUUCUGCCCCCGGCCUCCUCCACUUGCUGGGCAUGCAUCACCGUCAUCUGCAGCCACUUUCCCCAAUGCCAGAAUCAGAAAUUUUCAAAAUGGUUGAAUAGUAUUUGGUUAUUUUUUGAUAGGAUAUAAUGCUUUUGUUCCUUCUUUGACUUCACGUUUUCUUUGUUCUCUAAGCUAAAUGCCAGCAUUUAAACUGUAUACCGAGACACACAAUUGUGUGAAUAUUAGCUUGAGGCUCUCUUAAGACAGACUCAGAUAUCCAAAGGCUUUGAACUCACAGAAUUUUGUAAAACUCGAAGCACAUUCGCACUGCCCUUUGGAACCUGCCUUGUCUACAGAGCUAAUAGGCAAGACCCAGCUCACCCAGGGGGCUCGGGGAUCCCCAGCCCUGCGUGACUUUGCAACACCAGCUGAGAUGCCUGGUUCCCAGUUAAGUUACUAGGAUGAGUUACAGCACUAUUUAUUCAAAACUCUGAGAGGCCCGUGUUACUGCUAAUUCCAAUUUUAACUUUUCUUCCAGAAUGGCAGGAAGCGAUGAGGGCAGCUGAGGUUUCCAGAGCUCGUGUGUAGCAGGCGCCACGGCUAGUGCAUCAUGUGAAAUUAUGUUGCUUUUCUCAACUGUGAGGUGGGGACUCAACAUGGUUUCCAUCGCAGCCCAUACAGGCUGCUGUGGUUGACCAAGCUUCCUUUGCUGGCAGGGCUGGGUGUGUUCUGCUGGCUGCAGCUCACCACCAUGCUCAGAAUGGCUCAUAAUCAUUUGUUGUGUACUGUUUUUUCCAAAGACACGUCUCUGAGACUACGUCAGCUGCACCUGGACAUGGUCACACGUCAACAUCAUACAGAGUGGUUUCUCAGGUCCUGGGCAUCAGGUUUAGAUCCACUGCCGAAAUGGAAAAUCCUGUUCUCAGACACAGCGGGACAAUUAGCAUGUGCCACCUGCUGGAAACACUAGCCACACCUGAAGUGAAAGGAGAAUCCUGGAAAGUCUUCCCCUGGAGCUACCAGACUCCCCACUCUCGAGUCUGGUGGACACGGCACUGUCAGGACCCCUCCCCUCGGCAGAGAGUGGUGGUCGGCUGCAGACUUCUUCCUUCGAGAUGUAUGUGCACAAGAGAAGAUAACAAAUGAGUCCCCAACACCUAAUCUGGAAUUUUUAUAUUAAGUUUUCUCUCUCUUAGAGAAGAAUUUUCAAAGAGUAGUCAUUCAAAAAGCAAAACACACAAACAAAACCCUAAAACUUUGAGAGACCAUUUUAUGCCUGGAGCCAAAGAUGAAUUUUAUAGGCUUUGCUUCUUUAGGUCUUGGCUCCAAAUUCUACACAGUGCUGUGUUCCUUUCCACCAUCAACAUACAGAACCAAUUCCCCUUCUGGAUUGUAUGCACUGAAGAACUUUAGCUUUAUUUAUUAACUUUUUAAAGAUCUCUCAAUUGGUUACAUAACAAACCACCACCAGCCUAGUGGUGUAAAGGAAGCAGCAUCAUUUCCCGAAAUUCUGAGGGUUGGCUGGAAGGUUCUCGGGGCUGAGACUCCUGGGCUGGGCUGGGGUGGAAGAGGGCCUCACUCACACGUGCAAGGCCUUGGCAGAGACAUGGCCUCCGAGGCACCUGAGGUCUCUGUCAUUCACUCCCUCAUUCUCAGGAGGCCAACUCGGCCUGCCCACUUGGCAGCAGAAGGUUCCCACCGCAACAGCGGGGACGUCCAAUGCCUUUCAAGCACUUCCCAAGUUUCUGCUGGUGUCAGGGCUGCUUUUGUCCCCUUGGUCAAGCUGCACCGUGUGUCCAGGCCCAGCGGUCACAGGGGAAGGGCCAUGCAGGCUCGGUGUAUGGAGGCAAGUCUGGGCACCAUCACAAACUCACCAUUUCAACAAAACACUCAUUGUUUCUGAACUAUCUUUAAAAACAACUUUUAAGAAAUAAGAAAAGCUAUUUCCAGAGCACUCACCAGUGCCACGUGCACACGGAUCAUCUAAUUCUAGGGGGGCAACUGCACGGUUUGCCCCCGACCGUCCAGUGUUAGUGUCCAAGGAAGCCCCUCAGUUCCGAGGUGAACCAACAGAACAGAUCACCCUGUGAGGUAUGAAGUGUUGUCCUCUGCAUUCGACAGAUGAGGAGGUUACAGCUGCGAGACUGUAGGCGGUUGCCCGGGCGCUCUUCCAAGUAGGUAGCAGGGCCGAGUGAAUGAGCCUAGGCACCGCCCGGUAUUGCUGCAACAGCCAGGCGGCGCUUUGACUUCUGGGUCAGUGUCACUGCCUACCUGAAUCACUCACUUCCUGUAAAAUACUUGAUUCCAAAUUACUUUGGUCUGUAUUGAAAAAUAAAAUUCAAGUUUACCUUUAAAGACAAAGAUUUGCCAUAUUUAAGGAUAUUUUAGAGAACGUGCUACUGACUCUGAAGAAGAGGCAUAAAACCGCCUUGAGGAACGGCAUCGUCUGUGCUGAAGCAGGCAGCGCCCAGCUGACGACUGUCAAUGCAGCCCUAGCAAACACGGCCACGCUGCCCUCCAUCCAGGGUCCUGUCCAGUGCUGUGCUAAGCACUUCACGUGGUGACAGCUAGCUGCACACCAGGCACGGUCAGGUGCUUAGCGUUUAUUAAGUCGUUCAAUUCUUCUGUAACCCCAUGAAAUGGAUGCUAUUGCUAGAGCUGUUUUCUACAGAGAAUUUAAGGAUUUUGCCUAAGGAGAUGUCACCAGCAAGUAGCAGACCAUGGUUUGAACCUGUCCCCCAGUCCCAAGUCUACACAUAACUGUUGUCCCACGGGUGAUAGGUGUGACAGUCCUAGGCUCCAGCUCUUUCCCCGGCGCCACAGUGCCUGCUGUGCUUGGAGACACCACCCUCACCUGACUGGGAGAGCUCCACUCAAGGACCCGCACAAAAAUAAUCCCAGCUUCCGUGGUUUCCUCACACCAUUCCCCGCUCACAGUUUACCUCCCUAGGAACCCAACACUGUUUUCCUGUAGCUCAUCACUUCACAAAUGUAUUGCCUUUUGUUAAAAUCGUGAAUAAGCCUCUGGUCUGACUGCCUCUGCGGGGUUUUUGUCUCAUUUCGUGAAGCCGCCACAUGCAUAUGAAGUAACGCUUUUUCUCCUGUUAAUCUACUUUUGCCAGUUCAAUUUGCAGGACUCCAGUCACUAAAAAACAUAAGUGAGUGAAGGAAAAGUUUUUUUCCUCACCACCUGUUUGUUGGAAAGCAAGUAAUGGCCCACCUGGUAUUCUUUUGGUCAAGACACAACGGGGAAAUGGGGCUCCGGUCAGGCCCCUCAGGUUGGGCCUAAUUGGAGCAGAAUCGGAGGGGCCUGGGCUUCUUGCUGCCAGUGGCAAAUGUCCAGUCAGGAAGUCACACGGGCAGCAGCAAUGCCGGCAAGGGACGCUUGUAGCAGGAACGGGGCAGCCUCCCUUACUCAAACAAGACGCGGACUGCCUGAGGCCGGCAGCUCAGAGAACAAAAGGCAAGUGUGAGGGGGACGGGGUCAGUACUCAGAAAGCUCCAUGUGCCUUCCUGCUGAAAGCAACAUUGAAAGCACAACAUGUGCAUUUGGUUAAAAACGCUGAGGGCUUGUGCUGGGAGGCGGCAGUGGUGGCCUCAACCAUCUCCCCGUCCGCCCGCAUGGCAACCACGACGACUAUUUCCUCUGGUCAGGCAUUUCCAACCUCCUCCUGUUAUUACAACACUCUCUACUCACUAAUUUUAGAUAGAGUCUGUGCCAGACUUCCGACUACGAUAGUGAGAAUUCAGCCAACUUGCUCUGAAGAAAUCAUACAGGGCCUAAACUUUCUGAGUCCGUAUGAG